CUCUUUGUCACCUCCAAAUUAUGGUGUAUAUAUAUAUAUAUAUAUAUAUAAUUUCCACCACUUUGUUUCAUUAAGUGAAAUUAUUUACAUUACAUUAGGUGUUAUUUAUAUGUGGAAUGUGUUGACCAAAUUAAGAAAACUUUGGUUGAAUUAAUUGCAAAAAUUUUACAAAUCCCAAAACUUUUUUAAUUAUAAUGUUACAUGAAAAUAACAUCACUGAAAGGGUUAGACCUGCCCUUAACAACACCCUUCAAGAACUCCAACUUGACUACCUUGAUCUUUACUUCAUUCAUUGGCCAUUUCGGUUGAAAGAUGGUGUCAGCACACCUCCUAAAGAAGGAGAAGUUUUGGAAUUUGACAUGGAAGGGGUUUGGAGAGAAAUGGAGAAGCUUGUGAAGGAAAACCUUGUUUGAGACAUUGGUAUCUGCAAUUUCACUCUCCAAAAGCUUGAUAAGUUAACGAGCAUUGCUGAAACAAUGCCUUCAGUACGCCAAGUAAUAAAUCUUGUUGUGGUGACUAGUCUCCAUGAUUUUGUGGUGACUGCAGGUACAUGAUUUUCAUAUCUUAUUUUCAAAGGCAAAAAAAAAAAUACUUUCUACUGAUUCAGGUAAAGGCUUUGAAGGCUUUAAUAAAAAGAAUAGUACUACUACUGUUCCAUUAUGGCCCUUUCCUUGUUGUAUAUAAAGGGGUGAGGCUGGUGGUUCCUGAGGCAUAGCUAUGAUGUUUUCUGAGAUCAUAGGUAUUUCUGAGAUCAUAGAGGACCACAAGGAUAACUCUUUCUACCCCUGAUGAGGUGUGUCCCGUUUAGCUAGUUUCGAAAGUCACGCAAUUCUUAUCUAUCUUGCUUCUGCCUUUUCUGGUAUUACUGAUCAUUGUUCAUUGGCCUAACUUUAGAGGGAAGUAUCAAGUACCACAUCUAGCUAGGACCACUGCAAUGGUCCUCUUCACAGCCCAUGGACUUUGCUACAUUAUCUUUUGGGACAACACUAAUCAAAUCUAAGAGAUGCUUGUGGAAUAAAGUUGGGGUCUCAAAUGUGGCUGGAGAAGUAGCUUUGCUAGCAGGAUUAGUCAUUUCCAGCAAAAAAUUUAGCUGGUUUUUGCUCGCAUCUUAUCUUGUGAAACUAUUGAACUGAAUUUCUCCAAGAAUCCAGGCCGGAUUCAACUUUUCAUAUAUAUUGCUCUCACGGGGACACAGAAAUUGUUGAGUUUUGAUCAGUGCAUAUAGUGCUCAAAUAUAUUCUUGACAAAAGAUCAAGAUAUACAGUAAUUGAUUCUUUUGACUUCACAUGUCAUUUGGAACAACCAAUCACUAUGUGCAGGACUCAUUUUUACCCCCAUCAAGCAAUCAAUCCAGAAUUCCUUUCCAGUCAAAACUUGUUUAGAAAUGGGCUUUACAGGAGUUUGCUGAGAGGAAGGACAAUAGGAAGAUGGCUGAAGGAUCAAAAGGAGAGGAAAAAGCAAGAAAUUAGGACUCAUAAUGCUCAGUUGCAUGCUGCAGUAUCCGUGGCAGGCAUAGCUGCUGCCAUUGCGGCCAUUGCAGCUUCAAUAAAGUGUACAUUGUAGAAUCAAUAGAGUGUACAUAUCAGCCAUAAGAAAGUGUACAUAGCUAUAAAGUUCUACACUUACCAUAUGAGUGGUCUCUAGCUUAGCUUGCAUUGUUCAAGAAAUUUUAGAAAAUUCUAAGGAUACAACUCUACUAAUGUUUGUGAGACAUGGAUGUAAUUUUCACUCCAUAUGGAUGUAUAACUGUAUAUUAUUGAAUAAGUAGAGUUAUAUGCAAAGAAAUAUUAUAUAGAUAAUCUAUUUUU